rnacentral:rRNA from 1 species
GACGAACGCUGGCGGCGUGCUUAACACAUGCAAGUCACGGGGGCUCGGGGGCAACUUCGAGCAACCGGCGAACGGGUGCGUAACACGUGACCAACCUGCCCUCGUGUGGGGGAUAGCCGGGCUAACGCCCGGGUAAUACCGCAUACGGUCCUUUGGGGGAGUCCCUGGGGGAAGAAAGCCUGUGGCAACAUGGGCGCACGGGGAGGGGGUCGCGGCCUAUCAGGCUGGUUGGGGGGGUAAUGGCCCACCAAGGCGACGACGGGUAGCNGGUCUGAGAGGAUGGCCAGCCACAUUGGGACUGAGAGACGGCCCAGACUCCUACGGGAGGCAGCAGUGGGGAAUCUUGCGCAAUGGCCGGAAGGCUGACGCAGCGACGCCGCGUGUGGGA